ACCGCCAGCGCGAAAAGCAGCAGGAAGAGUGCGCUGCCGAGCGCCUCUGCGCCGGCCUCAGCUCCCGGAGCCUUCCACAUUCCCCAAACUUGGGAGCGAACUCAGCCGCCGCUCCUAGGCCCGCCGCUCCGCCACGCCCCUCGCUCCCUGUAUUUCUAUUGGUCGGGUGCCUCGAGGUUCCGCCCCAACUCCGUGGCGAUUGGCUCGCUGAAUAUAGGGCUCUGGGGCCUAGCGGCCGGUGACUUACUGGCAUUGCCCAGCACCCGGCCGCUUCUGGCACCGAUCCUCGAAAGCCCUUUUGGGGUGUGAACACCAGGUGAUUGACGACGAUCCGGACAGCUCCACCCACUGGGCUGAACUGAUUCUGCCUUCCUGGGAGCCACUGCGAUCUUAAAGUGUCUUUUAGGUACCAGAGCAGCACAUGGCCUUAGCUAAAAGCCAAGAAGUUGCUGGUGCCAUGUUCUUGACCCCUCGAAUUGUCAGCUGCAUAAACAUCUUCUUUGUAAUUUUCUGUCACAGCAACAGAAAGCAGAAGACAUCAGAGAGUGUCAGGUAAUGAUAUCACAUCCAGAGAGCUCUCUGCCUGAUUCCUUUGUUUGCUGCAUGAGAAGAAGAAAAGCUGGUCAGAAUUAAUU